AGCGAACGUUAGCGGCAGGCUUAACACAUGCAAGUCGAACGCGAAAGCCCUUUCGGGGGCAAGUAAAGUGGCGCACGGGUGAGUAACACGUAGGUAACCUGUCUUUGUGUCGGGGAUAACCACUGGAAACGGUGGGUAAUACCGGGUAGAGUUGUGACUUUUAAGUAAGUUACAAGGAAAGCUGUGAAGCGCACGAAGAGGGGCCUGCGGCCCAUCAGCUAGAUGGUAAGGUAAUGGCUUACCAUGGCAACGACGGGUAGCUGGUCUGAGAGGAUGAUCAGCCACACUGGGACUGAGACACGGCCCAGACUCCUACGGGAGGCAG
rnacentral:rRNA from 1 species